GCCUCAGUGGCUUUGGGGCAAAGCGCCGGCCUACAGAUCCCCAGGUGGCGGGUUCGAAUCCCGUCCGAGGUG
rnacentral:tRNA from 1 species